rnacentral:snRNA from 1 species
AUACUUACCUGACGCGAGAGGCACCUUGAUCAACUAGGAGGUCCUCUCAGGAUGAGGCCCUUUCAUUGCACUUCGACUGGGUUGACUCCUGCGAUUACCCCUAAUGUGGGUAACUCGAGCGUAUAAUUUCUGGUAGUGGGGACCUGCGUUCGCGUUCGUCCCCU